CAACAAAUAUUUUAAUAAAAAUAUUAGUUUUGGGUAUUAAAGAUAUGGAUUUUUCUAUUUUGUUGA
rnacentral:tRNA from 1 species